rnacentral:lncRNA from 1 species
AGAAUCCUCGUAAAAAAAACUUCAGGAUCUUCAUAAAAAGAGUCCAGCGAGAAUCAUCUGGCUUCUAAAUGGGACCAUGACCCCUCCCCUUCCCUCCCUAAGGUUUUUUCAGGAGACCAAAACAAAGGGUAAACGGGGAGAGAGAACGAGAUAGGCAAAGCAAAUAUGAAAUCAAGAGCCAGAGGCAUAAAAAUCGAGCCCGAUCUCGGAAAAUCCGGAUUCGGAAAGUGGGGAAACGCAUGCUCGCACUGCGGAAGCUCGAUCACGCCCAGAAAGACUGCAGGCUGCUAAAGAACAAUGUCGGUGCCGCAGACACCAUCCAAGUCAUCAACGACUCUCUGUUUCUCAGCGUCGACAACCCCCUCGAGUCCUGGAUCUUCAGCACCGCCGCCCAGUUCUACUGCUCGCCGCACAAGGGGAUUUUCGGGAAGUACACAGCCGGAAACUACGGCAAGGCCUACAUCGGCAUGAAGAACAGUUCGCUGGACAUUGUCGGGAAGGGCGACGUUGGGGUCAAGUUGCCGGGUAGGGCGAGGUGCAUCAUCCACAAUGUGAUGCACAUUCCGGGUUUGGUGCGGAAUUUGAUUUCCGUGGGGCAGUUGGGUAAGGAGGGUUAUGCUCUGCAAAUGUCUUGUGGGAGCUGGAAGGUACUCAAAGCUGGAGAAUUGCUUUUCACUUAUGAAUUUGAGCUUAUUCCGAACUUCGUCUCGUUUGUUACGUCCUCCAGAGAUUAGGGUUUAUGAUUAUGUUUCGGGCUGGGUUUAGGGUUUAUAACUACAUGGUUUGAUGAAGAAGAGCUUGGUUGGUUAGGUAAUUAGUACAAUGUCGUUGAUCGAAAUCGAGCUCUGUUAGAAUUAUGUGUUAGUGUUGAUAUUAGCUUUUGAACUUCAAAUUAACGAUGUUAAGUACGUUUUUAAUCGAAAUGAAAUCCCUACUCUUGUCAAGGCUUCCGUUUUUAUAUUGUUCAUGUUGUUCGAUUGUGAAUUGCUCCCACCAAUCGCAACUAUUAUUAUGUUUUGUUGCUUCCAAAUGGUAUACAAUUUUUGUAAUGGUAGAAUUUACCAGUUUUUAGGCGCGCAGCGCUCUUUGCUUGACCAGGACUAGCGUUUACAAGUGAGGGGAUUGAACCCUCUGAAUUUUUUGCUGCUAGUGCUAUUGUCCAAGCAAGUUCUGUGGCCAUUGCUGCAUUUUCAGCAACGGGUCGAGCAUGGAAUACUGGUUGUAAGUGCUGGGGGAAAUGACCGAUCCAUGGUUUGCUGGAACUGACUGAUCGAGAGUGGAAUACCCAUCUACUCCAUAGCCCCCGCCAACCUGAGUUACGCCAGUAGGGAGCCGCCUCCUCCAUGGGCAUUGUGCAGCCCGGUGGCAAACUUGGUGUAAAUUGCACAAGACGGCAAUUUGGUGACCAUGCGUACGUGGCUUGACUAUGCGCCGAUUGGCAAUGCAGCUGGGAAUUUUGUCCUCCUUGAAACAAGUUGGACUCGUAUUCUUCUCCUCAAGUUGGAGCCGAGCAAGAGAGUCUGCAACAGCCUUUUCGUUUUUGAGAUGAGUCGUCGGAGUGUCUUUAACAGCCCUUUUUUUCUUUUUAUACUUACAAAAGGAUGAAGGUGUUUACAAACGGAAAGCUAGCGAGCAUUCAGAGGUUUGCUCGAACAUAUUUUUAACACGAGGGAAUUUGUACGGACACAACAAUUAGGCAUCAAGUUAAUUAAAUUCAAGCACUGUAAAGUUUUGGUUAGAUAUGUUUGCUGCUCAAACAUAUGCAGGCAAACUCGAAACUCCUCACAAAAACCAUAAAAACAUAAAUGAAAAGCAUACGAAGAGGACUGCCGGUGUCACCCCGAAGCAAAGAUCCUGGUCCCGCGAGGGACUUGGCCUUGAAUCUAGCUUCCUUCAUGGUUAAUUUUGUGAGAGAGAGAUUGCACGAGUUUGUUGAUUCGAAAAUGCCAAAACACUUAUUUUGAACCUAUCGUAUAAGGGUUAAAUGUAGCAAGUUGAUGCAUAAAUGCGUCCUACUUGAGGUUUGUUGUACAAUUAGGUUUAAUUUUCUCUUCAAAUAAGGAAUUAGAUUGAAUCGGAAAACUAAUAUGAAUGAUAGAGCUCAAGGCAAUGUUGUUGAAACGUUUCCCAUUAACAACAAGGGAGGGUCUGAAAUUGAAUUGUAUAUCCAUCAAACAAGCUAUGAACAGAUGCUAAAUUAUACAAAGCAAUAAGCAGGUCCUAAUCUUUGGAGCAACCGCUGAAAAGGAGGCUCGUACGCUGCCGAAGUUGGCUGGCGGCUGCCUCAAGACAUACCCGUUUCUUUUACAAAUGUCAUUGUGAACUCUGAAAGGACUCAGUCACCUUUUCCCAAUAUCCGAUUGGUUUACUUUCCUACAAUCAAUAACCAUUAUAUUACCAUAUGUCAACUGGUAGAGGUAUUAUAAGAGAAAAAGUAUGAGUGCUUCUCUGUUUGAUGUCUCAGCCCGUGCCCCCAUGGUAUAGCUGGGAUGGAUAACGCUUCUCAAUUUGACAUUUUGUCCAAUUCCUACAGACUACGCUAACUGUUGGAACAAAAAAAUUCGGAUCCCUCAAUCUUCCAACAAGUAAAUCUUGUGACCAUGUUGAGAAGCCCACGACACCAUGCUUGCUUGCCAUCAACGAGGGAGGAGGGGGACCUGCAAGAAACACUUCAACGCUCAAGUCAAUCUUUGUUUAAAAUUGAUACACUAAAGUCAUUUAGUAGUACGGUCUAAUAGUAUUCAUCUUCACUUAUAAGUGAGAGAUCUUAGGUUUGAUUUUCGUCUAAUGCAUUAUUGGCCUUUUAUAGGCUUUCAAGUCUUACGCUCUAAGUCCCAUUUUCCUUGUACUUCUCCAUGUUUCACAUUUCAUGAAAGUGUUCGAUCAUGCUCCUUUAUUCUAGCUCCACUCCCAUAAAUGUAGGAUUCAUGGGAAGUGGCCCAUUGCUUGAGCCGUAAUUUGACCGAUGUGAGACCUUUUACUUUAUUCAACAAUUAAUGAAUCACUUUGCUCUAAAUUGGCAAUUUGUGACAGGAUUACAUUUAAAUUUAUCUCUUUACUAAGGGUUUCCCGGCUAGUGAGUAGGUCUGCUUUUUAUCAAUAAGAUUUGUAAGAAAGAAAAAAAAAGUAUUUUCUCAAUUUAAUCAUAACAGCUCAUUUUUCAUACCAUUUAGACCUCGUUUGGUAACUCGGAUUGUACUGACUAUUUCAGUCGGAUAGAAUAAAUAUUCAUCGGAUAGUACUGACUAAAUUAAUCAGACAUUUAAUGUAACAUUGGACUAAUGAUCGUAUUAUUUAUACUGACCGGAUAUGAAUUCAAUGUAAUUAUCUAAAAACCCAAAUACAUUUCAAAUCCUAAUCUUCAAAAUAAAAAGCAAAUAAAAAAGCCCCAAAUAAGAGCAAAUCUAUUAAAAAAACAAUUGCCCAGAUAAAUUUCUUAAUUUUCAAAUUCCAUCAUCAAUUCUCAACCAAGAGACUUCAUAACUGGUGUCCUCCUCUCCGAGAGCUGGAACUAGGGGCGAUGGUUUUGUCCCCACUUUGUGGUUUAACCCCGGCAUUUCAUCUCUAUUUUUGUUUCUCUGUCCUCUAUAACCUUCCUCAAGAGCUUUCGCUCCUUUUGCAAUAUAUAUCGCAGCUUUAAAAAAAAAAAAGAUUCAGCAACCCAGUUUAGGAAAACCCAGACCAGAUCACGGCGGCAAAAUGAUAAACCCAAAUCCCACUUAAAUUCAAACAGUCAAAUGAUCAGAUCUCCCAAAUAUCACGAUUAAAAUCUGAAACCCACUGCAGUACUGAAAAAAUCCCAAUUCGAAUUGACUGUUGUGAAACGAGAUUGAAACUCUCUUUUCGCGGUGGUUGGUGCGAGCGAGUUAGACGGCCGGUGAGAGAAUUUGUGGGCAUCUACAAUUAUCAGAUGGAGAGUAGGAGAUGAGGAAGGCUACAAGGAGAUGACUACGAGGAAGGCGACGAGGACUAGGAGAGCAGAGAUGGCGAGAGAAAGCGAUGGACAGAGAAGGCAAAGGGGAGGACGGCGAUGGCGAGAGAAGGUGAUAGGGAGGACGACGACGCAUAGAGAAGGCGAGAGAGAGAGGGCUGAGUUUGCGAGAGAGGAGAGCAAAACCGCCUAAUAAUCCAAGCCUUUUGGUUGGUUUUAUUAAGCAAUCGUAUAUAGGGGUGGGCAAACGGGUACAGGAACCGCGGGUAGGGGCGGGUAAUUCAGGUUCGGGGCGGGUACGGGGCGGUUCCAAUUUUUUGAGAAUAGAAACGGGGCGGGGCGGGGCGGGGCGGGUCGAUUAGGAUUUAAGGGGCGGGCCGAGUUCUAGGAUUUGAAAUAACGGGGCCCCGGAUGGCCCGUUUCUAACUAUAUACAAUCUCUAAACCUAAACCAUUAUCCAUCGAUUCCAUCCCACUCUCCAAAACCCACCCCCAAAUUUCAUUCUUUGAAAUCCCAAACAGGGCCGCCGAGACUCACACUCGUCUCCCCCUCGACAACGACGACAGUCACGACACCACAUCACCUCACCAUCGGAGAAGAUGAAGAUUGCGUAGCACUGACGACCCAAUCUUGUUCGGUUCUGCCUCUGCUCACUCAGAAUCCUAGCUAAAACUUUGAUUUUAUUUAUUUUUCUUAACUUGAAAUCAAACAUAUUGGUCGACUCUCAUCCCGAUUCCCGACUCUCACUUUUACUGUCUCUCAAACUCUCAGACGGUCAGACCUCAGUCCCUCGACAGUUACCUUCCCUCGACUGCAAAAAUCGAUGUUGAUGAUCAGAGUGUGGAGCCUGUUGAGGAAUUGGAGAAGAAGAGGAGCGAGGAGUUCUAAAAGAUUUUGGAGGUUUCGAAGGAGGAAAGGGACCGGGUUCAGCGAAUGCAGGUUGUUGAUCGAGCUGCGGCCGCGAUCGCGGCUGCUCGCGCCAUUUUGGAGGACAAGAAUAAUAAGUUGAGGACUGAGGCGGGGGAUCGCGGAGGUUCCGGUGGUGGGAGUGGCGGGGGUGGUGACGGAACAAUUGGGGCUCGUCAAGAAGGUAAAGAUUUGGACAUUGUGUUUGAUUUUUAAUUAGGCAAUUUGAAUUUCUGAUUGUUUGUUUAAAUAUGGGAUUUUAAUUUGGGGUAAUGAAGAUAAAGAUGUGUAUAGUUUUAUUUGUUAAUUGAAGUCCAGAAUUUCCAAGAACAAAAAAGUUAGAGUUUGAUAUCCUGCAUAUGUUUUGGAUGCUGAUGGGAUUAUUGUUUCACGGAGAUCGCAUUAUAUCAAAUUGUAAAAUGUAAAUGGCCUAAUUGUUUCACGGAUAUCCUGCAUAUGUUUUGUCGGUCAACAAUUUGUGUGUUGUGUGUUCACUCUGUUUAAUUGUGCUGCCUGCUUGUGUUCACUCUGUUUAAUUGUUCACUCUUUAUGCCCAUUUGCAAAUCUGUGCAAUCUGUGCAGUUUGCAAAUUUAUGAGCAUUUGAUUAUAGUGUAGUCGGAUUUAUGAGUGACUGUGAAUCUGCAGGGGCUGGGAAUGUGCAAAUGUGAAUGAGUGAAUCUACUAGGGCUAGGACAGAAUUUGAAUCUGUGCAAAUGUGAAUGAGUGAAGCAGGAGGUAUAUGCCAUUUUCAUGUUUAAUUCCAGAAAUUAAAGUGCAAUUCUAGUUAUCAUUUUUUGGGUUAGUAAGCUAUUUUCAUGUGUGUAUGUGUGUAUGUGCGUGUGUGUGUGUAUGUUCUGUGUGUGUGUGUGUGUGUGUAUGUGUGUGUGUUUUGUUUUACUUAUAUGUGCAGUUUUUAUAUAUGUGCAGUUUUGAUUUAUACAUGUGCAGUUUUGAUUUAUAAUGUGCAGUUUUGAUAUAUGUGCAGUUUGGUUUUAUAUAGAUCGAGCAUACAUUCUUUGAGGAGCAAGACUGAGCUAACUAUUAUGUGGAUUUCAUUUUUAGAUGUUGGAGGACGAUGUAAUAUUGUUAUUUUGGAUGUAUUGUUAAAACUUAAUUUAUGAACUUGGAUAUUAGACUUUGUAUUUAGAUUAGAUGUGAAUAAUGGUGAAUUUGUGCAAAAUCUGCAUAAAUGCAGUGUCACUGUGAUUGUGCAGUUGCAAAUUGCAAUCUGUGCAGUUUGCAAACUGUGCAGUUUUCAAACUGUGCAGUGCAGUUAAAAAAAAAAAAAAAAGGGUACCCGUGGACCCGGCCCGAACCGGCCCGUUUUAACCGGGCCAGGUAAUGUCCGGUUCCUAUACAAGAAAAUCCAAUCCCCGCUCCGUCCCGGCCCGUUUCGGGUAAUGUCAGGUUUCUACAAACUUAGGUUCGGCCCGGCUCGGCCCGGCCCGUGCCCAGCCCUAAUCGUAUAUCGUGUUAAAUAAGCAGGCAGGUUAAAUAAAUCCCGCGUUUAUUUAAUAUGAGUGGACACCAAAUACCAAAUAUUUGAGUUCGUAUAACCAAGGUCUUAAAUGCCGAUAUUAUUUCGCCGAUAAUAUUGGUUUUUUGCGUUACCGAUAUUAUAAUGGUUAUCCAAUGAGUUUUCGUCAAAAUAUCGCGAUAUUUUGGAUAUGUGCAAAUCGGAGAAGAACGCCAGAGCUUCUACAGCUCCAGCCGAUUACAAACGCAAACCUUAGACUCCGAUCUAAUUACCAACUUGAAGAGGAAAGAGAUAGGAGUAAGUUUAUACCCUUGGUUCGCCGUGAAAUGGCCGAAGGUGUUCGGAAAGCUCCUCAACAGUCACGGGUUCGCCGGAGUUGGGUGAGCUUUUCCCCGACCUGAUCUCGUUCCAAAACCUUGGAAAAUUACGAGUAUAACACUUAAUAACACACACCCAAGCUUCAACUAGAACGAAUAGAGUUAAACUCGAAGCUUACCUAACCGAAGAAAAUGAAGAAAACUCGCCAGAGGUUUCUGGGUUUUGUCGAUCUUGCAGAGACAAGAGGAAGAGAGAGAAAGACGAGGUUUUGAUGGUGAUGACGUCUACGGAACGAUGGUGUGGGUGCCGUGUACUAGGGUAAUCACGGGAGAGAGAGUGAGAGUGAUGAGAGGGUUUCGAGUGAGAAGAGAGUGUGGAGAGAAAGCAAGAAAGAGAAGAAGAAAGAAAUGGGUCUCGGGUAGGGGACAGUAAACAAAAAAGUUCUUCCCCAAAAAAAAUUGUCUCCUUUCUUCGGAAAGGUUCUUCCCCAAUAAAAAAAUAAAAAAAUAAAAAAUACAUCAAAGGGAUUCGAACCCCUCCCUUUGUCAACCACGCAUCUGGGCUUUAUCCAACUCGUUAUAGAUGUGUUUGUAAUUAUAAAUUCAGCCUGUAAUAUUUAUAUGGUUGCUAAGAUGUUUGCAAGGCUUGCAAGCUAAUAUUUAUUAUUUAGGAUAAAUUUCUAUAUUUAAAAAAAAAAAACCAAGGGGAUUCGAACCCCUCCUAUUUUACUCCUUCAACACCUUGACCACCAUAUCACUUAUGUUUUUGUAAAAAUAUGCUAAAAUACACUUACUCUACACAUAGAGAUGACGAAGAUAGUGAAAAUUUUGAACCUCAUAGGAACUCUAAGUGGUACUAAGUCACUUAUGUAUCUUACCAUGCAAUGUAUAAAGUGUAAAAUAUUGUACUAAUUCAUUAUAUAUAAAUGAUUAUGGUGUGUUUAAAUUUCUUUCAUUAAUUACUACAUAUUUUCUACACUCACAAUGUUUGCCAGCUCGCUAAAUAAUCAACUUAAAUCAGUUAAAUCCAUCAUGCAAUGCAUUUCCUUCUAAUUUUUUGUGAUAAACUAAUAGAUAAUUGACUAAAUAAACAUCCUGCAAAGUUUCAAUAAAAAUUUCCAAGUUUUUCUUACAAUUUCAGUGGUUUCCAUAUUAUUUUUAUCGAUAUCGAUAACAUCCCGAUAUUUCUAUCGAUAUUUCCGUGUUUUUGGAUUAUCGAUAUUUCCGAUAUUAUCGAUAUUUAUAUCUUGCGUAUAACUUGUCUUAUUCGAUCCUUUAUCUGAUUUGCCAAACAAGAUCUUAUUUAAUACGAGUGAACACCAAACAUUCGAGUUCCUAUAACUUGUCUUAUUCGAUCCUUUAUCCGAUCUACCAAGAUCAUAGUAGUUCUGUUAAACAAAUUAUUUUAUUAAAAGACAACCCAAUCCAAAACAAAUAGACACACAAAAAAAAAACUAAUAAAAAGAGCUUGAAAUGAAAAGAACUAUAGACUUUUCAUUAAAACUUUCCAAAAAAAUUCACCGAAAGCCCAAAACAUAGGGCAAAAGGGAGGAAAGAACGAGAGAGGCAGAGCAAAUAUGAAAUCAAGCACCAGCGGCAUAAAAAUCGAGGCCGAUCUCGGAAAAUCCGGCUUCGGAAAAUGGGGAGACGCAUGCUCGCACUGCGGGAAGCUCGAUCACACCCACAAAGACUGCACGCUGCUGAAGAACAAUGUCGGUGCCGCAGACACCAUCGAAGUCAUCAACGACGCUCUGUUUCUCAGCGUCGACAGCCCCCUUGAAUCCUGGAUCUUCAGCACCGCCGCCGAGUUCCACUGCUCGCCGCACAAAGGGAUUUUCGAGAAGUACACCGCCGGAAACUACGGCAAGGCCUACUUCGGCCUGAACAACAGUUCGCUGGACAUUGUCGGGAAAGGCGACGUUGGGGUCAAGUUGCCGAGCGGGGCGAGGUGGAUCAUCCACAAUGUGAAGCACAUUCCGGGUUUGGCGCGGAAUUUGAUUUCGGUGGGGCAGUUGGGUAAGGAGGGUUAUGCUCUGCAAAUGUCUAGUGGGAGCUGGAAGGUACUCAAAGCUGGAGAAUUGCUUUUCACUUAUGAAUUUGAGCUUAUUCCGAACUUCGUCUCGUUUGUUACGUCCUCCAGAGAUUAGGGUUCAUGAUCAUGUUUCGGGCUUUGGGUUUAGGGUUUAUAACUACAUGGUUUGACGAAGAAGAGCUUAGUUGGUUGGUUAGGUAAUUAGUACAAUGUCGUUGAUCGAAAUCAAGCUCUGUUAGAAUUAUGUGUUAGUGUUGAUAUUAGCUUUUGAACUUCAAAUUAACGAUGUUAAGUACGUUUUUAAUCGAAAUGAAAUCCCUACUCUUGUCAAGGCUUCCGUUUUUAUAUUGUUCAUGUUGUUCGAUUGUGAAUUGCUCCCACCAAUCGCA